CCAUGGUACAGUGGCUAAGAGAGCCCAGUCCCAUGGCUGUUCUCAAUUUGAAACCUUGAACCACACACAGGACCAUCCUUAAGUUCCACCUUGGCAAGAUAUUAAUUUAGAAUGAUUCACCCAGGAGUUACAAGUGUUCCCAAGACCUUCACUGAGACAAGGUGGCCUCAUUCUGCUAUUAUACACAGCUAUAUACAGUGUGCUUUCCACCAUUUCUUCAUUAUUUACCAUAAUGUUGUGGCAUUGAGACUACAAUGUCAAUCAGAUCCCCUCCUUUUAA